rnacentral:rRNA from 1 species
UACGAAGGGGGCUAGCGUUGCUCGGAAUCACUGGGCGUAAAGGGUGCGUAGGCGGGUCUUUAAGUCAGGGGUGAAAUCCUGGAGCUCAACUCCAGAACUGCCUUUGAUACUGAAGAUCUUGAGUUCGGGAGAGGUGAGUGGAACUGCGAGUGUAGAGGUGAAAUUCGUAGAUAUUCGCAAGAACACCAGUGGCGAAGGCGGCUCACUGGCCCGAUACUGACGCUAAGACGCGAAAGCGUGGGGAGCAAACAGG